rnacentral:rRNA from 1 species
UACAGAGGCCCCAAGCGUUACUGAGAAUCCCUGGGUUUAAAGGGUGCGUAGGUGGUCCGUUAAGUUCGUUGUGAAAUCCCUGGGCUCAACCCAGGAAAUGCUUCGAAUACUGGCGGACUUGAGGCUAGUAGAGGUCACUGGAACUGACGGUGGAGCGGUGAAAUGCUUAGAUAUGACAUAGAACACCAAUUGCGAAGGCAGCUUACUACACAGUUAUUGACACUGAGGCACGAAAGCGUGGGGAUCAAACAGG